AUUGAACGCUGGCGGAAUGCUUUACACAUGCAAGUCGAGCGGCAGCGCGGGGGCAACCCUGGCGGCGAGCGGCGAACGGGUGAGUAACAUAUCGGAACGUACCCCGUCGUGGGGGAUAACACAGCGAAAGCUGUGCUAAUACCGCAUACGACCUGAGGGUGAAAGCGGGGGAUCGCAAGACCUCGCGCGAUGGGAGCGGCCGAUAUCGGAUUAGCUUGUUGGUGAGGUAAAGGCUCACCAAGGCGACGAUCCGUAGCUGGUCUGAGAGGAUGAUCAGCCACACUGGAACUGAGACACGGUCCAGACUCCUACGGGAGGCAGCAGUGGGGAAUAUUGGACAAUGGGGGAAACCCUGAUCCAGCCAUGCCGCGUGUGUGAAGAAGGCC
rnacentral:rRNA from 1 species